AACGCGAAGAACCUUACCCAGGCUUGACAUGCAGUAGACCGAUCCAGAAAUGGGUCUUUCCUUCGGGACUGCUGCACAGGUGCUGCAUGGCUGUCGUCAGCUCGUGCCGUGAGGUGUUGGGUUAAGUCCCGCAACGAGCGCAACCCUUAUCCUUAGUUGCCAACAUUUAAGGUGGGAACUUUAAUGAGACUGCCUGGGUUAACCAGGAGGAAGGUGGGGAUGACGUCAAGUUCGCAUGGCCCUUAUGUCUGGGGCUACACACGUGCUACAAUGGGCGGGACAAUGGGGAGCGAAGCCGCGAGGGGGAGAAAAUCCCAAAAACCCCAUCCCAGUUCAGAUUGGAGUUCUGCAACUCCACUACAUGAAGAUGGAAUUGCUAGUAAUAAUGGCGAGUCAAGAACCUCCCCUUAAAUACUUUCCCGGGUCUUGUACACACCG
rnacentral:rRNA from 1 species